rnacentral:lncRNA from 1 species
CCAGCUUCCCCUUUUUGAGGUUCCCAACUGAUGCUCUUGAUGAUCUGUUCCCUGUAUCACAAGUCCUAUUUCACCACUCAGGCUUUCAUAAAUGUUUUAGGUAAAUUCUUGCUUCUCAUUCUCAAUGAGAAUGGAAUGAAGACUGUUAAGUAUAUGUACUGUAUCACAUUAUUUGUAACUAAUAUAUUUUAGCUACAUGUUUUAAUUUUUAACAAGUGUUAAAAAGAUAAGUACUGGAAAUGUUCAUAUUACAAAUGAUACAGUUUGGGGUACAGCCCCACAACCCCAGAGCACUAAGUUGAUUGAUCACUCUAUAAUAAUGAUACAGUCACAUAAAUGGGUAUAUGUGUAUAUUAAUUAGAGUUUGGGCCAAUAGUGACCAACUCGGUUAUUUUGCUUUAGACUAACAGUAUAAUUUUCUCCCAUAGCAUUUAAUAAACUGUCUAAACACUUUAUCCAUGCCAUUAAAAAAGUAUAAAAUAUAUAUUUAAAUUAUUUAAUAAAUUCAAAUCCUUCCUGAAAACUCAGAAUGCAACUUUAUUUGAAAAUAAGAUCUUAAGAAAUGGAAUUCAUUAGGUUAGGAGAAGGACAUACUAAAGUAGAGUGAGUCCUAAAUCCUGUCUGACUGGCAUCCUAUAACAACAGGGAGAGAGAUCAAAGACACAAAGAAAGGAAGUCAAUCUGAAGUCAGAGACAAAGAUCAGAGUGAUAUAUUGACCAGCCUAUGAACGCUAAGCAUGACCAGAAACUACGGAGCUGGAAAGGGGCAAGAAAAUAGCCUCCCUUAGAUUCUUCAGAGAAAAAAUUAUUCAACUCUGUCGACACCUUGAUUUCAAAUCUCCAGCCUCCAAAACUGUGAAAGAAUAAAUUUCUGUUCUUUUACGCCACUCAGUUUGUUGUACUUACUUAUGGCAGCCCUAGAAAACU